rnacentral:lncRNA from 1 species
UGUUCAUUUAUGCUCACAAUCACUCCUUAUAAGAAGUAUACACUUUUUUGUUUUAAACUUAUUAGAAAAAUAGAUUUAUUGAUGAAUAAAACUAAAAACAGACCUGACCUACAAAAAUUUCCAAAAUAUUUGGUCUAAUAGUUUAUCAGUAUUUAUGAUUAUAAACCAGAUAUAAGGGAAUGCAUAACAGCUUUGAUAAAAACAAUAAUGUUGAAUUUUUUGGCCAAAACUUUUUUUGUCCUAAGCCACCUUACAUAUAUAUAUUAACAUAAAUAUUGUGUGUGUUGUUCUUUCUGAUUAGAUGAUAUCUUGAAUUCCAUGUAUCAUUAUAACAAAUAUCAUCACUUUUGUUAUGAAUAAACAAAAAUGAAAAUAAAAGAAGGGAAAUAAAAAUAUAUGUGUGCUUCCUAUUUCUUUUGUAAAAAAAAAGGGUUGUAUCUAUUUUUGAACAAUAAUUCUAAAUCCUUUUCACAGUCUUGAUUCCAUAAAUAUAAGUUUCAACAGAAAAGUUUUAAUAUCAGUUUGUUUGAAAAAUAGAACAAAUUUUACAAAAUGCUGAGAACUUUCAGGCUUGAAAGGGUUCAUCAUAGAUUGGUUAAGAAAUCCGAAACACACACAUAUUUUUAUAUGGCCUCACUUUAAAAUUG